CAAAAUUGAAAAAUCGUAAAAAAGCAGAAGGGCCAAAGUAGAAAUUAGACCCUCUCAUUUAAAAACACACAGACCCUAUGUGAAUCCAGGUCAGGUCAUCGAGUUGGCCCCAAAAUGAUAUCAUUUUGGGGCGUUUAGGACCACGAUGAAAAGGCAUCAUUUAAGUGCCCUAUUUAAGUAAAAAAAAUAUUAGAAAAAAAAAUCAUUUCCGCACCCUUUUAAAAAAAACUUUCUCCCUUCCUUUUUUCUCUCUGAAAUCACCCCUGAAUCCAGCCACUGGGCCAUCGGCGCUCUGCCAUGGCCACUAGUCAUUGGCGAUGACAGACGUCACCUCCGGUGGCAGGAGUUGUAAAAAAAGAGCCCUUUUUUUAUCUCCGUUUCACAGGGAAGUCGGAUCUAAGACCGAAAUCCCUAAAAUCUGACCAAAAUUUGAAAACACAAAAGGGACCUUUCGAUUUCCAGCCCUAUUUUUUGACGUGGCCUCCGACGAACCAAAGACGAUUUGGAGGUCUCAUCUCAGAAAAGCCAUCCUUCAUCGGAGACGGCGUCCUCGUCCACUCGUGGUGGUGGAACAUGAAGCAGCCCGGUAAGUUUUUUAAUCUUUUCCUUUUUUAUUUUAUGUUUUUAUAAUAAAAUAAAAUAAAAUAAAAUAAAAUAAAAUAACAGAUUUGAAAAUAAAAGAAUCACCUUUAAAAUUUUUCUUUGUGUUCUGUUUUUGAUUACUCUCGUGUGUAAAUAAUACAUCUAUUGUUAUGACUUUUAUAGCGAUAUAUUACACAAUAUUUAUUUUUGUAUUUUUUUCUUGUUGUUUCUACUAUUUCUGCCAUUUUCACUGUUUUUGUUCUCUGUCCUUUUUCGUUUUCUCUUUGUAGGUACCCAUGGCGGUCAAUGGCGACGAUGGGAGUCGUGCCUUGCCAUUUUGGUGCAAUGGUGGCAGGGGGUGCGUCAGGCCUCAGGCGGUGAGUACGCCGGCAUGGUAGGGUGCGGCGUGAAAGGGGGACUUAGGGUUUUAGGUUUUCUGAAAACUUUAGGUUAUGAGCUUGGGUUAAUAAUUUGGGCUUGUAAUUUGAGUUUUAUUUAUUUUAUUUUUAUUUUGGGUUUAUGUAUUGGGCCAUAUUUUUUUGUAAAUGGACUUUUAUUUUAUUUAUUUAUUUAUUUGGUUUCUGUUUGGGUUGGACGAA
rnacentral:lncRNA from 1 species